rnacentral:rRNA from 1 species
GAGUUUGAUCUUGGCUCAGGAUGAACGCUGGCGGCGUGCCUAACACAUGCAAGUCGAACGGAUCCAUAUUGAAACCUAGUGAUGUAUGGAUUAGUGGCGGACGGGUGAGUAACGCGUGGAUAACCUGCCGUAUACAGGGGAUAACACUUAGAAAUAGGUGCUAAUACCGCAUAAGCGCACGGUUCCGCAUGGAACAGUGUGAAAAACUCCGGUGGUAUACGAUGGAUCCGCGUCUGAUUAGCCAGUUGGCGGGGUAACGGCCCACCAAGGCGACGAUCAGUAGCCGACCUGAGAGGGUGGCCGGCCACAUUGGGACUGAGACACGGCCCAAACUCCUACGGGAGGCAGCAGUGGGGAAUAUUGCACAAUGGGGGAAACCCUGAUGCAGCAACGCCGCGUGAGUGAAGAAGUAUUUCGGUAUGUAAAGCUCUAUCAGCAGGGAAGAAAAAAGACGGUACCUGACUAAGAAGCCCCGGCUAACUACGUGCCAGCAGCCGCCGUAAC